rnacentral:rRNA from 1 species
CCCUUAGAUGUUCUGGGCUGCACGCGUGUUACAAUCGGGAGUACAACAAGAUUGCAAAUCCUAGUGGAUGAGUGGUUCUUCGAAAUUUUCUGAAGACUGGGAUAGUUGAUUGAAAUUAUCCAACUCGAACGAGGAAUUCCUUGUAAUUGUAAUUCAUUAUAUUGUAAUGAAUACGUCCCUGCCCUUUGUACACACCGCCCGUCGCUCCUACCGAUUGAACGAUCCGGUGAAUUAUUUGGAGUAGCUCUGGAAGUUGCAGAACUUCCUAUGUCACGAAAUUUUGUAAACCUUAUCGUUUAGAGGAAGGAAAAGUCGUAACA